rnacentral:ncRNA from 1 species
CCGGGGUCCGCAGAUUCCCGGGGCGUGCAAAAAGCCGAGACGGUGUCCCGUCCAAAUCUGC